rnacentral:rRNA from 1 species
GACGAAUGCUGGCUGCGUGCUUAACACAUGCAAGUCGAACGGUGAAGGGGAGCUUGCUCCCCGGAUCAGUGGCGAACGGGUGAGUAACACGUGGGCAACCUGCCCCUCACUCUGGGAUAACUCCGGGAAACCGGGGCUAAUACCGGAUACGACCUGGUGCGACAUCGCACCGGGUGGAAAGAACUUCGGUGAGGGAUGGGCCCGCGGCCUAUCAGCUUGUUGGUGGGGUAACGGCCCACCAAGGCGACGACGGGUAGCCGGCCUGAGAGGGCGACCGGCCACACUGGGACUGAGACACGGCCCAGACUCCUACGGGAGGCAGCAGUGGGGAAUAUUGCGCAAUGGGCGAAAGCCUGACGCAGCGACGCAGCGUGAGGGACGAAGGCCUUCGGGUUGUAAACCUCUUUCAGCGGGGACGAAGCGCAAGUGACGGUACCCGCAGAAGAAGCACCGGCUAACUACGUGCCAGCAGCCGCCGCAGUAA